rnacentral:lncRNA from 1 species
UUAAAAGAAAGACUUGUGGGAUCUACUAUUCAUUCUUGCCACAUGAGUUUUCACACUCUUGUUCAUCAAACUGGUUAUAAUACACAACAUAUUUUAUCGCCUGAAUGGGACACGCUUUCUUCUCUCAACCACAACAAAACCAUACCGUACCGGCUUCUCAAAACUCCAUCUUUCUCCUUCCGAUAAUCAAAGAAUAAAGUACUAUUGUAGGUCUCUGAUGAUGUUGCCUGUCAGAGCAGAGGUCGUGGGCACAUUGGAGGCUAUGCUGAUGCUUUGUCUUAAAGAUGCCACCAGUUGGGACACACCAAUUUCUUUUUCAAAAACUCUCCUAUGGGAAAUUUUCCAGAUGUUUAGUCGAAAUCAGAGACAAUUUUAUUUUUCAAUUAAUAUGUAAUUCCAUUGGUGGAAAUUUAUAGCCCCAGAAAAGAUUAUUUUUAAUUUUAUUGAUGUUAAUGAUAUGAUAGUCUUUACGUUUUAAAAUCCCCUUUUU